UCCGCGGUAGUUGAGUGGUACAACGCCUCCCUGUUAAGGAGGAUUUCGCAGGUUCGAAUCCUGCCCGCGGAG
rnacentral:tRNA from 1 species